rnacentral:rRNA from 1 species
GAUGAACGCUAGCGGCAGGCCUAACACAUGCAAGUCGAGGGGUAGAAGUUGCUUGCAACUUUGAGACCGGCGCACGGGUGCGUAACGCGUAUGCAAUCUACCUUGUACAGGGGGAUAGCCCAGAGAAAUUUGGAUUAAUACCCCAUAGUGUAAUGAAAUCGCAUGGUUUUAUUACUAAAGUUCCAACGGUACAAGAUGAGCAUGCGUCCUAUUAGCUAGUUGGUGUGGUAACGGCGCACCAAGGCAACGAUAGGUAGGGGUCCUGAGAGGGAGAUCCCCCACACUGGUACUGAGACACGGACCAGACUCCUACGGGAGGCAGCAGUGAGGAAUAUUGGUCAAUGGGCGCAAGCCUGAACCAGCCAUGCCGCGUGCAGGAAGACGGUCCUAUGGAUUGUAAACUGCUUUUGUACGGGAAGAAACACUCCUACGUGUAGGAGCUUGACGGUACCGUAAGAAUAAGGAUCGGCUAACUCCGUGCCAGCCGCCGCAGUAA